rnacentral:hammerhead_ribozyme from 1 species
AUCCAACUGACGAGUUUCUGAUAGGACAAAACGCACGUCCUGGAU